GUGGGGAAUUUUGGACAAUGGGGGAAACCCUGAUCCAGCGACGCCGCGUGAAGGAUGAAGGCCUUCGGGUUGUAAACUUCUUUUGGAGGGGACGAAUAAAUUGACGGUACCCUCAGAAAAAGCCACGGCUAACUACGUGCCAGCAGCCGCGGUAAUACGUAGGUGGCGAGCGUUACUCGGAAUUACUAGGCGUAAAGCGUAUGUAGGCGGUUGUAUAAGUCUAUGGUGAAAUUUCCUGGCUCAACUGGGAAGGGACAUAGAUACUGUAUGACUUGAGUGUUGGAGGGGGAGACGGAAUUCCUGGUGUAGCGGUGAAAUGCGUAGAUAUCAGGAGGAACACCGAUGGCGAAAGCAGUCUCCUGGCCAAAUACUGACGCUGAGGUACGAAAGCUAGGGUAGCAAACAGGAUUAGAAACCCUAGUAGUCC
rnacentral:rRNA from 1 species